GUACGAGAGGAACCGUUGAUUCGCA
rnacentral:ncRNA from 2 species